CUACGGAGGGUGCAAGCGUUACUCGGAAUCACUGGGCGUAAAGCGCGCGCAGGCGGCUAUUUAAGUUGGAUGUGAAAGCCUACGGCUCAACCGUAGAACUGCAUCCAAAACUAUUUAGCUAGAGUGUGGGAGAGGAAGAUGGAAUUAGUUGUGUAGGGGUAAAAUCCGUAGAGAUAACUAGGAAUACCAAAAGCGAAGGCAAUCUUCUGGAACACUACUGACGCUGAGGCGCGAAAGCGUGGGGAGCAAACGGGAUUAGAAACCCCUGUAGUCC
rnacentral:rRNA from 1 species